CCGCGUGAGUGAUGAAGGUUUUCGGAUCGUAAAGCUCUGUUGCCAGGGAAGAACGUCUUAGAGAGUAACUGCUCUAAGAGUGACGGUACCUGAGAAGAAAGCCCCGGCUAACUACGUGCCAGCAGCCGCGGUAAUACGUAGGGGGCGAGCGUUGUCCGGAAUUAUUGGGCGUAAAGCGCGCGCAGGCGGCUGUUUAAGUCUGGUGUUUAAUCCUGGGGCUCAACCCCGGGUCGCACUGGAAACUGGACGGCUUGAGUGCAGAAGAGGAGAGUGGAAUUCCACGUGUAGCGGUGAAAUGCGUAGAGAUGUGGAGGAACACCAGUGGCGAAGG
rnacentral:rRNA from 1 species